GACGAACGCUGGCGGCGUGCUUAACACAUGCAAGUCGAACGGAAAGGCCCUGCUUUUUUGGGGUGCUCGAGUGGCGAACGGGUGAUUAACACGUGAGUAACCUGCCCUUGACUUUGGGAUAACUUCAUGAAACUGGGGCUAAUACCGGAUAGGAGCUCCUGCUGCAUGGUGGGGGUUGGUAAGUUUCGGCGGUUGGGGAUGGACUCGCGGCUUAUCAGCUUGUUGGUGGGGUAGUGGCUUACCAAGGCUUUGACGGGUAGCCGGCCUGAGAGGGUGACCGGCCACAUUGGGACUGAGAUACGGCCCAGACUCCUACGGGAGGCAGAAGUGGGGAAUAUUGCACAAUGGGCGGAAGCCUGAUGCAGCAACGCCGCGUGCGGGAUGACGGCAUUCGGGUUGUAAACCGCUUUCGCCUGUGACGAAGCGUGAGUGACGGUAAUGAGUAAAGAAGCACCGGCUAACUACGUG
rnacentral:rRNA from 1 species